UACGAAGGGUGCAAGCGUUAAUCGGAAUUACUGGGCGUAAAGGGUGCGUAGGCGGUUGUUUAAGUCUGUCGUGAAAUCCGGGCUCAACCUGGGAAUGGCGAUGGAUACUGGCGAGCUAGAGUGUGUCAGAGGAUGGUGGAAUUCCCGGUGUAGCGGUGAGAUGCGUAGAGAUCGGGAGGAACAUCAGUGGCGAAGGCGGCCAUCUGGGACAACACUGACGCUGAAGCACGAAAGCGUGGGGAGCAAACAGG
rnacentral:rRNA from 1 species